UACGUAGGGUGCAAGCGUUAAUCGGAAUUACUGGGCGUAAAGCGUGCGCAGGCGGUUAUGUAAGACAGAUGUGAAAUCCCCGGGCUCAACCUGGGAACUGCAUUUGUGACUGCAUAGCUAGAGUACAGGUAGAGGGGGGAUGGAAUUCCGCGUGUAGCAGUGAAAUGCGUAGAUAUGCGGAGGAACACCGAUGGCGAAGGCAAUCCCCCUGGACCUGUACUGACGCUCAUGCACGAAAAGCGUGGGGAGCAAACAGG
rnacentral:rRNA from 1 species